GGUUAAGCGACUAAGCGUACACGGUGGAUGCCCUGGCAGUCAGAGGCGAUGAAGGGCGUGCUAAUCUGCGAUAAGCGCCGGUAAGGUGAUAUGAACCGUUAUAACCGGCGAUACCCGAAUGGGGAAACCCAGUGUGAUUCGUCACACUAUCAUUAACUGAAUCCAUAGGUUAAUGAGGCGAACCGGGGGAACUGAAACAUCUAAGUACCCCGAGGAAAAGAAAUCAACCGAGAUUCCCCCAGUAGCGGCGAGCGAACGGGGAGGAGCCCAGAGCCUGAAUCAGCAUGUGUGUUAGUGGAAGCGUCUGGAAAGGCGCGCGAUACAGGGUGACAGCCCCGUACACAAAAGCGCAUGUGCUGUGAGCUCGAUGAGUAGGGCGGGACACGUGGUAUCCUGUCUGAAUAUGGGGGGACCAUCCUCCAAGGCUAAAUACUCCUGACUGACCGAUAGUGAACCAGUACCGUGAGGGAAAGGCGAAAAGAACCCCGGCGAGGGGAGUGAAAAAGAACCUGAAACCGUGUACGUACAAGCAGUGGGAGCACCCUUCGGGGUGUGACUGCGUACCUUUUGUAUAAUGGGUCAGCGACUUAUAUUCUGUAGCAAGGUUAACCGUAUAGGGGAGCCGGAGGGAAACCGAGUCUUAAUUGGGCGUUAAGUUGCAGGGUAUAGACCCGAAACCCGGUGAUCUAGCCAUGGGCAGGUUGAAGGUUGGGUAACACUAACUGGAGGACCGAACCGAC
rnacentral:rRNA from 1 species